rnacentral:rRNA from 1 species
GGGGCCCCGCACAAGCAGCGGAGCGUGUGGUUUAAUUCGAUGCUACACGAAGAACCUUACCAGGGUUUGACAUGCAAGUGGUAGGAAGCCGAAAGGUGACCGACCCUUCGGGGAGCUUGCACAGGUGCUGCAUGGCUGUCGUCAGCUCGUGUCGUGAGAUGUUCGGUUAAGUCCGCUAACGAGCGCAACCCUCGCUGUGUGUUAUAUGUGUCACACGGGACUGCCGGUCUUAAGCCGGAGGAAGGUGGGGAUGAUGUCAAGUCAGCAUGGCCUUUAUAUCCUGGGCUACACACACGCUACAAUGGCCAACACAAUAGGUUGCUAAGCCGCGAGGUGGCGCCAAUCCAUAAAGUUGGUCUCAGUUCAGAUUGUAGGCUGCAACCCGCCUGCAUGAAGAUGGAGUUGCUAGUAACCGCAGGUCAGCUAUACUGCGGUGAAUACGUUCCCGGGGCUU